rnacentral:rRNA from 1 species
UACGUAGGGGGCCAGCGUUGCUCGGAAUUACUGGGCGUAAAGGGUUCGUAGGCGGUGCGACAAGUUGGGAGUGAAAUCUCUGGGCUUAACCCAGAGGCUGCUUUCAAAACUGCCGUGCUCGAGUGCGAGAGAGGUCAGUGGAAUUGCAGGUGUAGCGGUGAAAUGCGUAGAUAUCCGCAGGAACAUCCGAGGCGAAAGCGGCUUGCUGGAUCAUUUCUGACGCUGAGGGACGAAAGCUAGGGGAGCAAACAGG